UACGUAGGGUGCAAACGUUGCUCGGAAUCAUUGGGCGUAAAGCGCACGUAGGCGGUUCGUUAUGUCGGAUGUGAAAGCCCUUGGCUUAACCGAGGAAGUGCAUCCGAAACUGGCGAGCUAGAGUACGAAAGAGGAUCGCGGAAUUCCCGGUGUAGAGGUGAAAUUCGUAGAUAUCGGGAGGAACACCGGUGGCGAAGGCGGCGAUCUGGGUCGAUACUGACGCUGAGGUGCGAAAGCGUUGGGGAGCAAACAGG
rnacentral:rRNA from 1 species